rnacentral:misc_RNA from 1 species
ACAAACUUGGUCAUUUAGAGGAAGUAAAAGUCGUAACAAGGUCUCCGUCGGUGAACCAGCGGAGGGAUCAUUACUGAGUUUACGAACUCCCAAACCUUUGUGAACAUACCACUGUUGCUUCGGCGGACUCGUCCCGGGCGCGCCUUCGGGCGUGAUCCGGACUCAGGCGGCCGCCGAGGGUACCAAACUCUUGAAUUUAUAGCAGUCUUCUGAGUAUCAUGAGUAAAUAAAUCAAAACUUUCAGCAACGGAUCUCUUGGUUCUGGCAUCGAUGAAGAACGCAGC